GUACUGUAAGCUCUCAACCUGCUGGAGGAGGGAGAGGGUGUCUCCUCAGUGACCCAGGCACUCUGGGGAAUCACAACCCCUACUUGCACACACAUGAUUGAGACAGUAGAGCCUAUCUCUGGGGCUCAGACAGCUUGCAUAGCAGGAGGAGGCAGCUUUGGUUUUUUUUUUUUUUUUCUUUACAGAUGCUUCUCAGAGCCAGUAAAACAGCAACUGGAUAAAUAUAGGAAGAUGACGCACCAACUCUGAGUGGAUGUGCACGCAUGAGCAUGCAUGCACAAACAAGCCUACAAGCUGUGGACUACCACGUGGCCCUCAGCCUCCAGGAAUUGACAUUCAGGCUCCCAGAGCCAGAAACUCUGAACGGAAUGUGACGUCAUCAAAGAAGCCUGGCAGGAGGAUGAGAUGAGGCCACGAGCACAGUCAUCCCCUUGGCUCCUUGGAGCAUUCUCAGCAGUCGCCCUCAGUCGUCCCUGGCUAUAUAUAGCCCUGCUUACUGCUGUGCACAUGGCAUCUUUCUCAAUGAAAUACCAGAAGUCCUUCCAGACUCCGUGAAAGCAUCAGCUAAUGAACACCCAUAUGCCCAAGAGGUCCUGCAAGUAGCCAAGAGAGAGCUGGAUGUGAAAGAGUCUCAUGGUCAGGCACAAGGGAUGAGUCAGCAGCCACCUGGUGAACCAGUAACUGAAGAGCAGAUGGCAAGGUGGACACCUCGGGGGAGGCCAGCAUGGAUGGUGAGUGAUCCUGAGGACCAGAUGUCCCCUCCAAUACGUGGCACUGUGGAAGUCUCCAAAAUUUAGAUGCAAUCCAGGGGAAAGUGGAAGGGGAAAAGCCAGAUUAAUUGAAAUUAAAUUCCUGCAGCCCCAGAGGAAUGGAGGCUUGAAAAGAAAAGAAAAAGGGAAACAAAACAUGUUUCUGACACAUGUAAAUAUGUGCAAGGAAAUUGAUACCUAUUACACAUGUGAACCAAGAAACAGGUUUCUACUGACUUUCAAGGAGAGGCAAACAGAUAUAACUAGUGUUGUGAUUUCAGAAACAAUGACAGCCUCAUUUUCUCCCUUCUGUGCUUGAUUGUGAAUUUCCACCAUUAUAAUGUUUGUCCCCCCUUGGAUUUAGAAAUGUCCUCUUAAAACACACAUGCUAUUGAGAGAUGUUCACCUCACUAGUCGUUUAGCCCUUAAUGUGCAUCAGUUGAUCCUCUGUUUUUCU
rnacentral:lncRNA from 1 species